GAGCAGCAACAGCCGCGGUAAGACGGAGGGUGCUAGCGUUGUUCGGAAUCACUGGGCGUAAAGGGCGCGUAGGCGGCCUGUUAAGUCGGAUGUGAAAGCCCGGGGCUCAACCCCGGAACUGCAUCCGAGACUGGCAGGCUUGAGACCGGGAGAGGAGGGUGGAAUAUCCAGUGUAGAGGUGAAAUUCGUAGAUAUUGGAUGGAACACCGGUGGCGAAAGCGGCUCUCUGGCCCGGAUCUGACGCUGAGGCGCGAAAGCGUGGGGAGCAAACAGGAUUAGAUACCCCUGUAGUCCCUGUCUCUUAUAC
rnacentral:rRNA from 1 species